GGUGUAGGUGGCUUGGUAAGUCGGAUGUGAAAGCCCAGGGCCCAACCCUGGAAUUGCAUUCGAAACUAUCAGGCUAGAGUCCCGGAGGGGAUGGCGGAAUUCCCGGUGUAGAGGUGAAAUUCGUAGAUAUCGGGAGGAACACCAGUGGCGAAGGCAGCCAUCUGGACGGUGACUGACACUCAGACCCGAAAGUGUGGGUAGCGAACAGGAUUAGAUACCCUGGUAGUCC
rnacentral:rRNA from 1 species